rnacentral:rRNA from 1 species
AGAGUUUGAUCCUGGCUCAGAACGAACGUUGGCGGCGUGCCUAAUACAUGCAAGUCGCGCGAGAACGGAGGGGCAACUCUCCUAGUACAGCGGCGAACGGGUGCGUAAUACAUGGAGAACGUACCCCUCGGAUCGGGAUAACCCAGGGAAACUUGGGCUAAUACCGGAAGACAUCCCGAGGAGGCAUCUUCUUGGGAUCAAAGGUGGCCGAAAGGUUACUGCCGGGGGAGCGCUCCAUGACCUAUCAGCUAGUUGGUGGGGUAACGGCCCACCAAGGCUGUGACGGGUAGCCGGGCUGAGAGGUCGACCGGCCACAUGGGCACUGAGACACGGGCCCAACACCUACGGGUGGCAGCAGUAGGGAAUCUUGCGCAAUGGGCGAAAGCCUGACGCAGCGACGCCGCGUGGAGGACGAAGGCCUUCGGGUUGUAAACUCCUUUCGGGGGGGACGAACACUGACUUAACCCCCAAAAGAAGCACCGGCUAACUCCGUGCCAGCAGCUGCGGUAAUACGGAGAGUGCAAACGUUGUUCGGAUUCACUGGGCGUAAAGGGCACGUAGGCGGCCAGGCAAUUCAGUCGUGGAAUACCGACGCUCACCGUCGGUGCGCCGGCUGAAAAUACCCGGCUUGAGGGCGUGAGAGGUCGCUGGAACUCCUGGUGGAGCGGUGAAAUGCGUAGAUAUCAGGAGGAACGCCGGAGGCUAACGCGAGCGACUGGUGCGUUCCUGACGCUGAGGUGCGAAAGCCGGGGGAGCAAACAGGAUUAGAUACCCUGGUAGUCCCGGCUGUAAACGAUGGACACUAAGUGGGGGAAGGUUUACCUUUCUCUGCUGCAGCUAACGCAUUAAGUGUCCCGCCUGGGGAGUACGGCCGCAAGGUUAAAACUCAAAGGAAUUGACGGGGGCUCGCACAAGCGGUGGAGCAUGUGGUUCAAUUCGAUUCGACGCGAAGAACCUUACCCGGGCUUGAAGUGGAGGUGGUAGGAGCCGGAAACGGCAACGACCCCGCAAGGGGAGCCUUCAUCAGGUGUUGCAUGGCUGUCGUCAGCUCGUGUCGUGAGAUGUUAGCUUAAGUGCUGUAACGAGCGAAACCCUUGCCCUUAGUUGCUACGUGGCAACACGGCACUCUAGGGGGACUGCCCGCGCUGAGUGGGAGGAAGGUGGGGAUGACGUCAAGUCAUCAUGGCCCUUAUGUCCGGGGCUACACACGUGCUACAAUGGCGAGGACAAAGGGUUGCCAACGCGCGAGCGGGAGCCAAUCUCAAAAACCUCGCCUCAGUUCGGAUCGGAGGCUGCAAUUCGCCUCCGUGAAGCUGGAAUCGCUAGUAAUCGCGGAUCAGCUACGCCGCGGUGAAUAUGUUCCCGAGCCUUGUACACACCGCCCGUCAAGCCACCCAAGCACGAAGUACCUGAAGCCCGUUGCCUAACCGCAAGGAGGGCGCGGUCCAAGGUAAGGCGUGUGAGGAGGGCUAAGUCGUAACAAGGUA